AGGGUUUGAUCCUGGCUCAGGACGAACGCUGGCGGCGUGCCUAAUACAUGCAAGUCGAGCGAAUGGAUGGGAGCUUGCUCCCUGAAGUUAGCGGCGGACGGGUGAGUAACACGUGGGCAACCUGCCCUAUAGUUUGGGAUAACUCCGGGAAACCGGGGCUAAUACCGAAUAAUACAUUUCAUCUCCUGGUGAAAUGUUGAAAGAUGGUUUCGGCUAUCGCUAUAGGAUGGGCCCGCGGCGCAUUAGCUAGUAGGUGAGGUAACGGCUCACCUAGGCGACGAUGCGUAGCCGACCUGAGAGGGUGAUCGGCCACACUGGGACUGAGACACGGCCCAGACUCCUACGGGAGGCAGCAGUAGGGAAUCUUCCACAAUGGACGAAAGUCUGAUGGAGCAACGCCGCGUGAGUGAAGAAGGUUUUCGGAUCGUAAAACUCUGUUGUAAGGGAAGAACAAGUGCAGUAGUAACUGGCUGCACCUUGACGGUACCUUUAUUAAGAAAGCCACGGCUAACUACGUGCCAGCAGCCGCGGUAAUACGUAGUGGCAAGGCGUUGUCCGGGAUUUAUUGGG
rnacentral:rRNA from 1 species